CUUCGAACCACCACCGCAAACACCUCUGCAACCACCGUCCACCACUACUGCCACCUCCACCCCACCCCAUACAACCACCCCAACCACCGUCGCUCCCCAGAACUGCCGCACGCACCACCUCCUCCCCUCUCCCUCCUCUCGACACACUCCUCUGUUUCUCCCUCUUUCCCCGCCUCGCCGCACCAACAGCACACCACGCACCACCACCCCCAACCACCUUCAUCCUCUCGCCGACCACACUCCGCCUCUUAAGCUCCGGCGAACCGCCCUCUCCCUUCCCGAAAACCGAUCGAAAAACCCCCCACAAAACUCCCCUGCUCAUCCGCCCUCUCGCGCCUUUCUCUGCCUCCCUCGCCGUUCUGCCACCACCAGUCAACCACCACCAUCGCCGCCUCACCUCCGGCGUUGCGCCAAACCACCGAGCUCAGGCAGCCACCUCCAUCCUCUCCUCUCCUCCUCCUCGUGCGUCCCUUCUCCCCCUCCCCUGUUUUGUUCGUGCCUUGCUCCCAGAAAACCAAAACCUAUUUUGGUUUUGAUUUACUUCCCUUAAAACCCACAAAGUAAUUGGGCCAUUUUACAAUUUGGGCUUAUUGGAAAUUGGACUCGGAGCUCAGGACGAACGAACCAACGAAAAUCCCUUAGCAAAGUCGCGGAAUCAAGGUACUGCGGGGAACGAUGGAAACGAUUAGUGGCGAGGAAUUUACUAUAAUAAUGUUCACUUAGUUUAUGCUUAAUGUUUUAAUAGUUUAAUUAAAGACCUUUAGUAAAUAAUGUACUUUUAUUUUGAGGACUAUUAUGUUAUUUUGGGAGUUCUAAUGGAAUAUGAUUGAUUGUUGCCUUGUAAUUCCCAAGAGGGAUUUACGGCGUGUAACGACCCGACCGAAUUGGGUUAAUUCCGGUGCUAAGCAUGCUUUAAUACUUGAAUUAGAGGUCGGGGCGUUACAAUCAAAGUGGACAUUGUAUACAUUAUAUAUAUG